rnacentral:tmRNA from 1 species
AUCAAGCAAUCCCCUUGAAAAUUCAACCAUGUGCCCCCAUACUGUGCACAUGGUUGUAAUUCCGGCAAUCUGGAGGCGUUCUGGACGCGGGUUCGAUUCCCGCCAUCUCCACCUAAGAGUUUCGGAACAAAGGGUUUCACCAAAUUCUUAGGUGGGGGUGUACUGGUCUCGACAGGGCGGGCAAAGGUGCGCAGGCA